rnacentral:lncRNA from 1 species
AAAAAUCAGUUUGGGAAGAAGCGGUGGGUUUCAGAUUUGUUUCUUCCAGUUCCGGUCAUUAUUCACAAUAAUGGGGAAUGUGUGUUUUGUCUGGUGUAGAGAGAAGUAGCCAGACUUGACAGUGUAGGCUCUGUUCUUUGAUAGCGGCCAGACGUAGGAGUUUGGGAGUCUAGAAGACUUGGUUGGAUGGAUAGGAUGUGAGCUGCUAGCUCCGGGAGGAGGGAGUUUAUCCAUUGGAUGUUCCACUCCCGAGUUUCUCUUGUGAGGAUGUCGGAAACCAUCAGAUCUUUAUCAGCGAUGAAUACUGGGCCGUAGGGCUUCAGGUUUGUUUCUGGAUCAAUCCAUGAAUCAUUCCAGAGACUUGUAGUUUCUCCGUUACCAAUAACUUUGCCUAAAUGUUGUAGGAGGAGGUCGCGGCCUUUGAGAAUUCUUCUCCACGUGUGGGAGAUGGAUGAGUUCUCUGUGACUUUCAAGAAGGACGUCUUGUGAUAGUAUUUGCCUAGGAUGAUCUUUGAGAAGAGGCAAUCAGGAGCAAUGAUCAAGUAUAAAUAUAAAAACAAAAUUGAAGAAGCUCUUAGUCGAAUUAGUAUGCUCUGUUGUUGUGAGCCAAGCAACGACUUGUUUACAAUUAUUGAUUUUGCAAAUAAAAAUUAAAGAUUAAAACUGUUUGAUUAAAAAACUAGAGAUUUGCAUGCAAUAAAAACGGUGAGAUUUUACUGAAAAUAUAGUUAAAUUUUCGAUCUGA